GAUCUGCCCACCUCAGCCUCCCAAAGUGCUGGGAUUACAGGCAUGAGCCACGGCGCCCGGCCACUUACUCCUUUUUCAACAGACUUGGGGAGUAGGCAAGAUAUUUAUCAUUGUUUCCAUUGAAAAGAAGAAUCCUUGGCGGGGCAAGGCAUGAGAAUCACUUGAACCCAGGAGGCGAAGGUUGCAGUGAGCCGAUAUGCCACCACUGCACUAGCCUGGGCAACAGAGCAAGACUCUGUCUCAAAAAGAAAAAAAAAAAAA
rnacentral:lncRNA from 10 species